rnacentral:lncRNA from 1 species
CCAUGUACAAUAUUUUAUCAUAUGCAAUUGUGUUCAUAUAAUUUUUUAACACAUACCAAAUCAGAUUCAAAUUCAAUACCAUUCACAUUCAUCCACCAAUUCAUUACACAUCAGAUAAGUCUCAAGUCUCAAAUUUUAACUUGCUGAAACAUAAGUGCAGCAGCAACACAACUGCAGUAACACCACAACACCCACGGCAAACGUUGAUUUCGGUAGAACAUGAGCUAUAGCUUGGAGAGGAGUGUUCGGAUCUUUACCUUCUUUUGUUGGUUGAGCAACAUAAGCCUUUGAGCCUAGCAACAAUAACACCAAAUAAUUCAGAUUUCCAUACUUGUAUCCAGAACAUUCUAUGUUUGUGAGUACAGCAAGCUAUCCUUGGUAGAAUGCUAUAAAAAUUUGGUAGUAGUCUACUGGAAACAUAUGCUACCUGCUGUAAUUUGGUAGUAGUCUAUAUUUAGUACUACAUGCAUGUGUCCAAACAUUCGAUAUGACGGGCGAACUUUAACAGGGUAAACCAAACACCCCCUAAGAGAUCAACACGAUAGCAAUCAGUCACAGGAAUAACAUGGUCUAUGUCAUGGUAAAACCAGAGCUCCUCCCUAGUUUACCAAGUUGCUCCUAUUGCUAUCAUUGCUCAGAAUAUGUACCAGAUAGUUUGCAUUUCUAGAUAUUUUUCUGCAGUACCAGUAUGAAUUUGCCCACAUCACUAAAAAUUUCUUACUGAUAUACAGGAAGUUCAUCAUUCUGCACAUUUUACCCAAAAUUAUGCAAAUAGGCGCCAACCCAAGAACAAAUAAAAAAAUAAGAAUCUUAUGUUUGGGUGGAUGGCAAAAUAUAAGACACAUAUCUUUGUUUUCAGGGUUAUGAAUAAACAUUGCAUCUCUUUAGCCUUAACACAUAUAUUACAAAAGAAAAGACAGUAGUCAUUUUGCUUCAACUAUUUUCAAAUCAACAUAAAUUGACAUGUGGAUUUUGCAAUUGAUAUAUAUUGCACCAUAAAAGGUACACCCCAUGCCAAGUGCUAUAUUAUUAAUUAUUAAGUCUUGACAGUCCUAAAAUUCCCAUGAUCUUAUAUGCUGCAUUUUGUGCCAAAAAGUAACUUACGGCUAACAACUUAACAUAAGUUGUUUGAUGGUCUCGGAGAUUGACGUACAACACUUUCUUUGGGAUGUUUUUUUUAAGAUUGUCAUUAGUGAGGCUUGCAAUUACAGUACUGAAUGGUAUAUGCAAGUGGCAAGGUCGUAGAAGAAGAAUAGGUGUUGCAAGGAUGGAAGGGUCACAGAGAAAUACCUGACGUGCAGACAGCGUCAGGUGAAUGCACCUAGAACAGGAGGGCCCGAUCAGGCGGCGGCGCUGGGACUCUCAGAGUCAGGGACGACGACGACUCGAUUUCAUUGGACCCAAGUGCAGCUGUGGGUCUCUGGGUCGCUGGAUCUAUGCCUAGCGGAGCUGCUCAUGUUCCGCGGUGUCGAAGAAGGCGAACAUGCAAUGGAUCCAUGCCUCCCGCUGACCUUGGUCCGUCCCCCACCCCACGGCCAUGGCGUUGCCGCCACAGGGACCUACCGCACGGGGCGACCGAGGAGGCCGCGGUGUAGGGCGGUGGCGGCCUGUGACCCCAAGGAGGGCACCGUCGGGGGAAAGGGAGAUGGAUCCGCCCGCAUUUCCACAACGCGGCACUCCUGGUGGCUGGGAGGGAGGGCGCCGCCAUCGCUGCCGCGCAGUCACGGGCGAGGAAGGCAGAUCCGUCGCCACCGUUGCCAUUGUAGGCCGAGGAAGGUUGAUCCAUCGCCCGCUAUUGCUGUCGCGAGCCGAGGAAGCCAGAGCCGCUGCCGGGGUGUGCCGCUGCUUGUGCGCGAGAAAGUAGUGGCGGCUGCGAUAUGGGAGAAGCAAUGGUGG